CCUAUCAACUGAAUUAAGUUUACGAGAUAACUCUUUCUUUAUUUUAUUUUUUCUUUAUUUUUCUUCUCAUUUCUUCAUCUACCUAUAGGUAGAUAGUUUUUCAAUGAGACAACAUCCAUCAUUAACUAUUCAUAAAAAAAAAUACAAAAUAGCCAUUUGAAGUGAUGUGAAUAAUCGUUAGUAAUAUGCGCAAAAGAUUAGUAAUAUAUGCAAAAGAUUCAAACUCAUAAUCUAAUAUGUACAAUCACAACGUUUAUCCUCUAAACCACCUUAUCACUCCUUUCAAAAUUAUAAGAUGAAACUCUUACUACUGAACCGACACACAAUAGAUAAAAUAAACAUUAUGCAUAAGGUGGACAUUAAAUUAUUGAUUGAAAGGUGGAAGUUUCUAUCUACACAUAUUCUUUUUAUAUAGAGUGAGAUUACUCCAUAAUCUCAAGCCAGAUGCAUAAAUUUUUAUUAUUACAUUGGAAAUGCAACUGGACAUUUUUUGAA
rnacentral:lncRNA from 1 species